UUACUACUCCCUCCGUUCGGAAUUACUUGUCUCGGAAAUGGAUGUAUCUAGAACUAAAAUACAUCUACAUACAUCCAUUUCUGCGACAAGUAAUUCCGAACGGAGGGAGUACCUA
rnacentral:pre_miRNA from 1 species